CAGAAUAGAGAUAUUUAUUAGCUUUAUAUUCAAUACAUUAUUUACUUCUUUCUGUUUGUUCUGGAUUCAUUAUUUUUCAUUGGAAAGUUUUGGUAAAUUUCGUGGGUACCGGUAAACCAAAUUAAAUGUGCAACGACUUACAAAUUUUGGAUAGGGUUUUAUAAAAGAAUAAGGGAAAACCACGAAAUCAAAUAUCCAAGGACAUGCGAGUUUUCUUCUAUCCACGAAAAUUGGUACCCACAAAAAUAAAUUAAUCCACAUUAUUUAUUAUCAAUGUUCAUAUAACCAGUGAAAUACGAC
rnacentral:lncRNA from 1 species